AACCUCGUCGGCCGGAAGGGAUUCCUUCCGGUUGAUGAGGUAUAACAACCUCAUCAACCAGAAGGGAUUCCUUCCGGUUGAUGAGGUA
rnacentral:miRNA from 1 species